GCUCCCUCAUCUUGGUUACUAUGUGGCCCCAGUGCAAACAGGAUUGUGGCCUUCUCAAGCUUUGAAGGAGGCCUAGUGUGGAACAAUAGGGAGAAGACUGGGCUAGGAUGAAACGUGCUACUUACUGUGACACUUGUGGAGUAGUGAGUGGGAAGAGGAACAGCUGUCCAAUCACAGAGCAAGCACUAAGUAUGUAGUGAUGAAGCAAAGAUUGAUGAAAGAACAAGAGAGGUGAUACAUAAACUGAGUGCCACCUACUACUACUAGGGUCUGUGUCAGGAUCUAAAGAAUAAGCUCCAGGAGACCCAAUAGAAGAAGCAGCCUUCACUGAGGAACACCAGAGAAAACUUUAGGGACCCAAUAGAUCAUCCACCUCCAUUGUUGCAGACAAGUAGACAAAGACUUCUCUCUCUAGGAAAGAUGGGCAGUCAUUGUGGGUCCACUCUUCAUUUGGGAUGAACUGCAUCCUUACCUAUCAAGAUGCUAAUGAUGUCAGACAUAAAUGCACAAGAAGUCCAUGUGAUAACGCUCACCCUGUUUACAUGACCAAAUUCCCAGACUACUCCACUAAAAUGUCAAGCAAACAGAGACCUGGUAACCAGUCUUCAGGAGUCUGAAGCUUUCUAAUCUAGGGAUACAGUCACCUGGGUACUCCAGAGUUGUAAACAACUCAGUGAAUCAUGGACUACAAGGCAACUUUGAGCUAGAAGCUGUCAUUUAAAUAACUCAGAUUGCUCACAUUGCCUUUCUCCACCCUGGUAGAUCCUGUUACUACUUCCAGAUGUUUGCCUACUUUAGCUCAUCUCAAAAUGCCCUUGCUGUACACCUGUGGUUUAGACUGGGUGACAAAGAAAGGUCAUUGAAUAGAAGGAUGUGAAACUUCACAUACUGCUGACUGCAUGGAAAUUUAAAUGUAUAAAUGCCAGGGCACUCUCUGAGAGUGUUUCUCUCCUAAAUAAAUAAUUUGAAACAGUAA